rnacentral:lncRNA from 1 species
AAAACUAAGAAAUUAGCAUAUUAUACUCAAAAAUUAAAAAUUAAAAUCAAAACAUAGCUAAAUAUUAUAAAAUGAAAAAGAAAAAAAUUCAUGUUUCAUAGUUUUCAUUCAAACAUUAUUAAAAAUGAUAAAUAUUAUAAAAAUAUUUUUUAAAAACUUAUUUUAAAAAUAAAUCAAAUUAUAAAAUAAUAAAAUAGUAAAAAUACAUAAAAUAUAUAUAAAACUUAUUAUAAAACUAAUAUAAAAUAGUAAAAAAAAUAAACAAAAGUAGAACAAGAAUCAUU